UUUAGUUUUAGGUUUAGGUUUUUUGCAACAAACAUCUCCACGGCGACAGAGGCAAGUCGAGCGACGAGAUCUCCACGGGCCACGGCUGACGAGUCUCGAAUCUCAGCUACUUCUUCAGUUCUUCUCUCUAUCUAGCCUCUUGAGAUCGCCUCUCUUGCCGCGUCCGUCAACGCAAGCACGAUCGAAUUGCGCGGCCCUUACUGUUCGCGCGAGUCGGCGUGACCAACUCGUAUGCCCCGCCCCCUGCGGCUAGCGGCUUGCUCCUACCCUGCCAUCGUGCCGCGCAAAGCUUUGGUUGUGACUCCUACUGCGUGCGCCGCCAUUAGAGGCUCCUGCUUUUCCACGAUCAUGACGCAUCCACUGCCGUGGCCAAAGCAUUGCAAGUCAGGUUUAAAAUUGUGAACGGUGUGAUCUUAGUUGGGCAUCGAGGCUUGCUUACGUUGGAUUUUAAUCUCAAAAAAUGUGACAGAUUUUCUACGAAGUAUUUCUCAAACAUUAAGGGAUUCAAUUAAUGGGGGACAACCAUCGAAUACCUCCUGCACAAUUACAGGUCGCGUGUUAGCUGACUCGAUUAAUAAUUAUUUACAUUUGUACUUUUAUUUUGCGGACACCUAAUUUUUUUUUUUUUUGUAUAGGAGUUAAUGGAGGAGGAAUUUCUUGAAUUUUUCAAUGGUGCUACCAAGACGGAACUGAAGAAAAUAAAGGCCAUCGGAAAAAAUGCAACGUACAUUCUGGAGCUUCGGGAAGACACGCCAAACCCUUUUCAAACCAUGAAUGACGUCAAAGAAUUGGGUUUCUCUACACAACAGAUGAAUUCGAUGAUGACUCAAAUUCUCCGUUUCCGUAAUUUCUGGGAUUUUUAGUGUUGAAGUGGCUGCUAUCUCCUCAAAAUCUCUGAUCAAACCAUGGAUGGAAAUGAUAGCGAUGAUUUACAUUAUAAAUAAGUUAGGAUAUAAUGUUUGUAAUAGAUUCUGGUUUAAAUCAAUUGCUUCUAGCAGGGAACAGUUGAAGCCAUCUACGGAGUAGCCUCUAGGUGCCUUUCCUUAUCAGCCGGAUCCUUAACUAGCGAUCGAGAUGAGGAAGAACCCGAUUCCCCCCGGUUCUCCUGCUCCAACUUUUGGAUCCACCUCUCGUACAGUUCAGGUUGAAUAGCACUUGCGCUCUUCUUUUUGCUUGGCAUACUUCUGAAAUAGAAGGAUAAUUUUUUUACUCUUUAUCAAAAUUUAACUGUACUCAAUCCUAUAAAUUUAUCAUAUGACAACUACCUGCCUAUGCCAUGGGGUAGCUCAAUUCCUUUUGUAA